UACAGAGGUGGCAAGCGUUGUUCGGAAUUACUGGGCGUAAAGGGCGCGUAGGCGGCCUUCUAAGUCAGACGUGAAAUCCCCCGGCUUAACCUGGGAACUGCGUCUGAUACUGGGAGGCUAGAGUGCGGGAGAGGGAUGCGGAAUUCCAGGUGUAGCGGUGAAAUGCGUAGAUAUCUGGAGGAACACCGAUGGCGAAGGCAGGUCUCUGGGCCACUACUGACGCUGAGAAGCGAAAGCAUGGGGAGCGAACAGG
rnacentral:rRNA from 1 species